rnacentral:rRNA from 1 species
CCUACGGGAGGCAGCAGUGGGGAAUAUUGGGCAAUGGGCGCAAGCCUGACCCAGCAACGCCGCGUGAAGGAAGAAGGCCCUCGGGUUGUAAACUUCUUUUAUCAAGGACGAAACAAAUGACGGUACUUGAUGAAUAAGCCACGGCUAACUACGUGCCAGCAGCCGCGGUAAUACGUAGGUGGCAAGCGUUAUCCGGAUUUACUGGGUGUAAAGGGCGUGUAGGCGGGACUGCAAGUCAGAUGUGAAAUCCCCGGGCUCAACGUGGGAACUGCCUUUGAAACUGGCAAACUGGAGUGGGUGAGAGGAUAGUGGAAUUCCAGGUGUAGGAGUGAAAUGCGUAGAUAUCUGGAGGAACAUCAGUGGCGAAGGCGACUAUCUGGCACAUAACUGACGCUGAGGAGCGAAAGCGUGGGUAGCAAACAGGAUUAGAUACCCCUGUAGUC